rnacentral:snRNA from 1 species
CUACUUACCUGGCAGGGGAGAUACCAUGAUCAUGAAGGUGGUUUUCCCAGGGCAAGGCUUAUUCAUUGCACUCCAGAUGUGCUGACCCCUUCUAUUUCCCCAAAUGUAAAAAAAAAAAAAAAA